UGAGAAAGGACUCUCUCACAUACAUGAGAGAUGGGCAUUCAGUCUUCGAAACCAGUACAUAAGAAAGAUAGUUGGGAUAUGGCGGGACAAAAACUAGUAAAAGCUUCAGAGUAAUACUACUGUAUCAUCUGAUCUGAUUUGAUCUCUUCUUCACCUCAGACUUCAGUCCCGGAGUCUCGAGGAGCGUUGCAUCGGAAGCAUUCCAUCCUACUAGCAAAGUUGUGCUCAUUGCAGCCCAUCCUUGUACAAAUCCAGUCACCAGACUUCCACCCAGCGCGGCCACCGCCGCCACCACCACCGCCACCACCGAACCCAAACCCCCGUCGCGGCAAGUCACCAUCAAACCCACCACCGCCGACCGCAGCAGACUCAUCCUUGAAGGACCCACACUUGAAGCAGCUGGAGCGACUCGCAAAGUUAUGCGCGCCGCAGGUGCAGUACCAGUCGCCGGGCCUCACGUCGGCGCCGGUGCCGCCGAACCCAAACGAGCUCCCGCCGCCCCAUCCAGCGCCGAACCCAACAAACUCACUCCGGCCGUCGAGGCCCGUCUUCGGAUCCCCGCAG
rnacentral:misc_RNA from 1 species